UUGAACGCUGGCGGCAGGCCUAACACAUGCAAGUCGAACGGUAACAGGAAGCAGCUUGCUGCUUCGCUGACGAGUGGCGGACGGGUGAGUAAUGUCUGGGAAACUGCCUGAUGGAGGGGGAUAACUACUGGAAACGGUAGCUAAUACCGCAUAACGUCGCAAGACCAAAGAGGGGGAUCUUAGGGCCUCUUGCCAUCGGAUGUGCCCAGAUGGGAUUAGCUAGUAGGUGGGGUAACGGCUCACCUAGGCGACGAUCCCUAGCUGGUCUGAGAGGAUGACCAGCCACACUGGAACUGAGACACGGUCCAGACUCCUACGGGAGGCAGCAGUGGGGAAUAUUGCACAAUGGGCGCAAGCCUGAUGCAGCCAGGCCGCGUGUAUGAAGAAGGCCUUCGGGUUGUAAAGUACUUUCAGCGGGGAGGAAGGGAGUAAAGUUAAUACCUUUGCUCAUUGACGUUACCCGCAGAAGAAGCACCGGCUAACUCCGUG
rnacentral:rRNA from 1 species